rnacentral:lncRNA from 1 species
CUUUAACAAUAGUGAUUUUUGUUAUACUGCUGUAUGGGACCUGCUGAGUCACAGCCUGAAACACUGAUUGAGCACCUGGGGAAAGGACUCGGUCAGCCCUGGGAGCACAGGUGGAGGCAAUUCAGCUUUGUGACCAGAAGGGGUGCAGCCUGGCUGCACCUCUCUUAGACCCCAUUUAAAGGCUGACUGCCACUAGAGAAGGGUUUCUUUCUGGAGGUCCCUCCUUGGUGAAGUUUUCCCUUUGAACCUGGAAUCUUAUGAUAUGGGGGGAAGAGCUGUGUUUUUCUUUUGCGGUCUUUUAUGAACUACUGCUCUUCAGGGACAGAGACCACUUGUGCAAGAGGGAGAGCAAUUGCUUAUUGAUGUAAUUGUUGCAAAUGAAGACAGUAUAAAGGGGAGGUAACUGACAGCAUCUUUCUGAAAGAUAUGCAGAGACUCUCCGGCUUCAUUGGGAUUGUUUGUACAUGUUGCCAGAUACUUGUCCUAAGUGGUGUUUGUUUCCUUUCCAUAAAGAAGACACCAGCUCUGGUCGCUGAUAAAACAAAGCUUGGCAAAGUCCCAAGCACAAUAUCUUGUUCUGGGAAUGCACUCAACUUGAUCUUCUCAUUUACCUCACAGGCAUUCAUUCUUCAAAAGCCAAGGGCGUACAUCUUUGGGAGAUGAAGCUGCAAAAGAAUUUUGAAUAGAUUGAACCUGGGGAUGCUUCUGGCUCAGUUAGUAUUAAUGGCAAGUUGGCUUUGGAAAAUGACAAACUCCGCAGUCUGGUGCUGGAAGAAUUAGAAGGGCUUGAAACGUGGGAAAAUAAUGGAGAAACAGCUUUGAAGUGGUUAUUCAUCUCCUUCAAAUACACCCACCGGACAACUGGGACAGAUACAAGCCGCAAAGGGAGGUACCUCCCAUGGUCAGCCCUGCAGAAGUUAGAAAGGAGUGGGGAGAAGAAAUGGUGGAGCUGGCAACAUCUUUGUGAUCUCUCAAGUGGAUCCACAGCCCAGGUGGAGCAUCCUGUUCUACUAAAGGUUGUAGAAACAUUUCUAUCCCACCUCUUUGUCUUUGGGCUGAGUCCAGAAAACUUCAGUGACAUCUGGGAAAAAAGUGAUGAAACUGUACCUGAACAACGACAUUAAAACGUAGCUUGCUGGCAGCAUGGGCUGUGUUAUGUGAGGUCUGCCUGUUCCUGCUUUACCCAGAGAGCACCAGCAGCAAGCUGGACAUGUCCUCAAACGGCUGCAGAAGUCAGGUUGUGAGAGCUGCACCGUGGCAGGUGAACUGCAACAUCUUAGCAGUUUGCAGAUGAUGUCUCUCUUGACUUCAGAGAUGUUGCUCACCUUUCACAGCCGAAGAUAAAGCCUCAUAAUGCAGCAGAGCCAGAGCCUGAGCACAGAACGCUGAACAGAGAUCUAAAUGUUGACCUCAAUAGUACAUGCCUGAAGUUGAGUGCUUCCUGAAUCCUGUUACUGUCUGGUUCGUUCCUGUAGCUCUUGUGGAGCAUGUUGUGACAACCUGAAUAUUUUUCCAUCUUUAUCAAGCUGCUUGUGGAAAGGGUGCAUUGAAGGAGCUCUGACGACAGUCUCUGAUUUGUGCUCAGCAGUUACUAACUGUUGUUACUGCCACCCCCAAAUACUACUUUGCUGCUAACUCCUCUGAUCUCCUCUGGAUGUUAGAAACUAAAUGCUGAAGCGUGUUUGAAUAGUAUCUGUAGUGAUGGAACUGAUCCUGUUGGGUACUAAAGGCCUCCAGCUUUUGCUGGCCUCUAUGAGAUUUAGGGUCUCAGCCUUUGUUAGCCUUGGGCCCUUAGAAAAAAUUUCUUUUUCUUUCCAUUACAUUGUGAUAGGGAUGUAGAUUUCCUUAGGGACUUUCUUUGUUGGGUUUUGUUGGGCAGUUUGGUUUUUUUUUUACUAUUUCUUUGUGGGUUUUUUUUUGUCCCUUCUCUUUCCAUUGAACUGGGUUGAGAACAUAUUGAGACUUCCGUCAUCACAAGGACUGUUCCCUCAUUCCCUGCCCUGUGGUCAAAUGUAAUGUCACAUUGGCCAACUGAUUGUAAGAAUGUCCUUUACUAAAAGCAAGUAAGCAAGCAUGAUAUGUCCUACAGCAUCCUGUAAUUUAGAAGGUAUGUAAAUGACAACAUAUAUAUUUGUUAAGUAGAAAGUUGAUAGCAGAGUCAAGAAGAAAACAGUCACACCCAAUAGGAUAUGUGUGUGUGAUUAGUGUGGUCAAUAUGUAUAUACCACUGAAAGAAAAUACACCUGUGCAUACUAUUGCCAAGCUCCUAACAGUGUUCCUUAUUCCUCAACUUUUCUACAUGCACAGCGUUGUUCUUCUUUCCUAGAUGUUAAUCUCACUGAAGCAAAGGCCAAAUUAUCAACAGAAAAUCUCAGUGUAUGGAAGACUUGAUUGAGAGGGGCAGGUAAGUAUAGAUUUUUUAACUUUUUUUCCCCUUUUACUUCUGAAUAAAAUAAAUAAGUACCAAAAUCCUUAUCUCCC